AAAAAAAAAAAACCUGGGUUUCCGUAUCCAACAUUUAACUGUCCGUCUUAUAUGAAAUUUUUUUAUAAUUAGUAUUUUUAUUAUUGUUAGAUGAUAAAAUAUGAUUAAUACUUUAUACGUGACUUAUCUUUUUAAUUUUCUUCAUAAUUUUUUUAAAUAAGACGGACGGUCAAACGUUGGACACGGAAACUCAGGGUCUGUCUUUUU
rfam:Oryza glumipatula chromosome 3, whole genome shotgun sequence.